rnacentral:rRNA from 1 species
GACGAACGCUGGCGGCGUGCUUAACACAUGCAAGUCGAACGGAAAGGCCCUGCUUUUGUGGGGUGCUCGAGUGGCGAACGGGUGAGUAACACGUGAGUAACCUGCCCUUGACUUUGGGAUAACUUCAGGAAACUGGGGCUAAUACCGGAUAGGAGCUCCUGCUGCAUGGUGGGGGUUGGAAAGUUUCGGCGGUUGGGGAUGGACUCGCGGCUUAUCAGCUUGUUGGUGGGGUAGUGGCUUACCAAGGCUUUGACGGGUAGCCGGCCUGAGAGGGUGACCGGCCACAUUGGGACUGAGAUACGGCCCAGACUCCUACGGGAGGCAGCAGUGGGGAAUAUUGCACAAUGGGCGGAAGCCUGAUGCAGCAACGCCGCGUGCGGGAUGACGGCCUUCGGGUUGUAAACCGCUUUCGCCUGUGACGAAGCGUGAGUGACGGUAAUGGGUAAAGAAGCACCGGCUAACUACGUGCCAGCAGCCGCGGUGAUACGUAGGGUGCGAGCGUUGUCCGGAUUUAUUGGGCGUAAAGGGCUCGUAGGUGGUUGAUCGCGUCGGAAGUGUAAUCUUGGGGCUUAACCCUGAGCGUGCUUUCGAUACGGGUUGACUUGAGGAAGGUAGGGGAGAAUGGAAUUCCUGGUGGAGCGGUGGAAUGCGCAGAUAUCAGGAGGAACACCAGUGGCGAAGGCGGUUCUCUGGGCCUUUCCUGACGCUGAGGAGCGAAAGCGUGGGGAGCGAACAGGCUUAGAUACCCUGGUAGUCCACGCUGUAAACGGUGGGUACUAGGUGUGGGGUCCAUUCCACGGGUUCCGUGCCGUAGCUAACGCUUUAAGUACCCCGCCUGGGGAGUACGGCCGCAAGGCUAAAACUCAAAGGAAUUGACGGGGCCCCGCACAAGCGGCGGAGCAUGCGGAUUAAUUCGAUGCAACGCGUAGAACCUUACCUGGGUUUGACAUGGAUCGGGAGUGCUCAGAGAUGGGUGUGCCUCUUUUGGGGUCGGUUCACAGGUGGUGCAUGGCUGUCGUCAGCUCGUGUCGUGAGAUGUUGGGUUAAGUCCCGCAACGAGCGCAACCCUUGUUCACUGUUGCCAGCACGUUAUGGUGGGGACUCAGUGGAGACCGCCGGGGUCAACUCGGAGGAAGGUGGGGAUGACGUCAAGUCAUCAUGCCCCUUAUGUCCAGGGCUUCACGCAUGCUACAAUGGCUGGUACAGAGAGUGGCGAGCCUGUGAGGGUGAGCGAAUCUCGGAAAGCCGGUCUCAGUUCGGAUUGGGGUCUGCAACUCGACCUCAUGAAGUCGGAGUCGCUAGUAGUCGCAGAUCAGCAACGCUGCGGUGAAUACGUUCCCGGG